AUUGAACGCUGGCGGCAUGCCUUACACAUGCAAGUCGAACGGCAGCACGGGAGCUUGCUCCUGGUGGCGAGUGGCGAACGGGUGAGUAAUGCAUCGGAACGUACCCAGGAGUGGGGGAUAACUAUCCGAAAGGAUGGCUAAUACCGCAUAUUCUGUGAGCAGGAAAGCGGGGGAUCGCAAGACCUCGCGCUCUUGGAGCGGCCGAUGUCGGAUUAGCUAGUUGGUGAGGUAAAGGCUCACCAAGGCGACGAUCCGUAGCAGGUCUGAGAGGAUGAUCUGCCACACUGGGACUGAGACACGGCCCAGACUCCUACGGGAGGCAGCAGUGGGGAAUUUUGGACAAUGGGGGCAACCCUGAUCCAGCCAUGCCGCGUGGGUGAAGAAGGCCUUCGGGUUGUAAAGCUCUUUCGGCGGGGAAGAAAUGGCAACGGCUAAUAUCCGUUGUUGAUGACGGUACCCGCAUAAGAAGCACCGGCUAACUACGUGCCAGCCGCCGCCGUAAAAC
rnacentral:rRNA from 1 species